rnacentral:rRNA from 1 species
UACAGAGGUCUCAAGCGUUGUUCGGAUUCAUUGGGCGUAAAGGGUGCGUAGGUGGGCAGGUAAGUCAGUGGUGAAAUCUCUGGGCUUAACCCGGAAACUGCCGUUGAUACUAUCUGUCUUGAAUGUAGUGGAGGUGAGCGGAAUAUGUCAUGUAGCGGUGAAAUGCUUAGAUAUGACAUAGAACAUCGAUUGCGAAGGCAGCUCGCUACACUAUGAUUGACACUGAGGCACGAAAGCGUGGGGAUCAAACAGG